GUAGGUGGCAAGCGUUGUCCGGAAUUAUUGGGCGUAAAGCGCGCGCAGGUGGUUCUUUAAGUCUGAUGUGAAAGCCCCCGGCUCAACCGGGGAGGGUCAUUGGAAACUGGGGAACUUGAGUGCAGGAGAGGAAAGUGGAAUUCCACGUGUAGCGGUGAAAUGCGUAGAUAUGUGGAGGAACACCAGUGGCGAAGGCGACUUUCUGGCCUGUAACUGACACUGAGGCGCGAAAGCGUGGGAGCAAACAGGGAUUAGAUACCCUGGUAGUCCACGCCGUAAACGAUGAGUGCUAAGUGUUGGGGGGGUUUCCCGCCCCUCAGUGCUGCAGCUAACGCAUUAAGCACUCCGCCUGGGGAGUACGGUCGCAAGACUG
rnacentral:rRNA from 1 species